GAUCAUUACUGAUUUGCUUAAUUGCACCACAUGUGUUUUUUAUUGAACAAAUUUCUUUGGUGGCGGGAGCAAUCCUACCGCCAGAGGUUAUAACUAAACCAAACUUUUUAUUUACAGUCAAACUUGAUUUAUUAUUACAAUAGUCAAAACUUUCAACAACGGAUCUCUUGGUUCUCGCAUCGAUGAAGAACGCAGCGAAAUGCGAUACGUAAUAUGAAUUGCAGAUAUUCGUGAAUCAUCGAAUCUUUGAACGCMCAUUGCGCCCUUUGGUAUUCCAAAGGGCAUGCCUGUUUGAGCGUCAUUUCUCCCUCAAACCCCCGGGUUUGGUGUUGAGCAAUACGCUAGGUUUGUUUGAAAGAAUUUACGUGGAAACUUAUUUUAAGCGACUUAGGUUUAUCCAAAAACGCUUAUUUUGCUAGUGGCCACCACAAUUUAUUUCAUAACUUUGACCUCAAAUCAGGUAGG
rnacentral:misc_RNA from 1 species